CGGGUUGUAAAGCACUUUCAGUAGGGAGGAAGGUAGUGUAGUUAACACCUGCACUAUUUGACGUUACCUACAGAAGAAGCACCGGCUAACUCCGUGCCAGCAGCCGCGGUAAUACGGAGGGUGCGAGCGUUAAUCGGAAUUACUGGGCGUAAAGCGCAUGCAGGCGGCCUGUUAAGUCAGAUGUGAAAGCCCGGGGCUUAACCUCGGAAUUGCAUUUGAAACUGGCAGGCUAGAGUCUUGUAGAGGGGGGUAGGAAUUUCAGGUGUAGCGGUGAAAUGCGUAGAGAUCUGAAGGAAUACCAGUGGCGAAGGCGGCCCCCUGGACAAAGACUGACGCUCAGAUGCGAAAGCGUGGGGAGCAAACAGGAUUAGAUACCCUGGUAG
rnacentral:rRNA from 1 species